CCUACGGGUGGCAGCAGUGAGGAAUAUUGGUCAAUGGACGAGAGUCUGAACCAGCCAAGUAGCGUGAAGGAUGACUGCCCUAUGGGUUGUAAACUUCUUUUAUAUGGGAAUAAAAUGUUCCACGUGUGGGAUUUUGUAUGUACCAUAUGAAUAAGGAUCGGCUAACUCCGUGCCAGCAGCCGCGGUAAUACGGAGGAUCCGAGCGUUAUCCGGAUUUAUUGGGUUUAAAGGGAGCGUAGGUGGAUUGUUAAGUCAGUUGUGAAAGUUUGCGGCUCAACCGUAAAAUUGCAGUUGAAACUGGCAGUCUUGAGGACAGUAGAGGUGGGCGGAAUUCGGGGUGUAGCGGUGAAAUGCUUAGAUAUCACGAAGAACUCCGAUUGCGAAGGCAGUUCACUGGACUGCAACUGACACUGAGGCUCGAAAGUGUGGGUAUCAAACAGGAUUAGAUACCCUAGUAGUC
rnacentral:rRNA from 1 species